AGCUCCAGACCUUAUCAUUAAAUGCAAACCAUUUUACUGGUAGAAUACCUGCAUCCCUGGACACUUGAACAAGAAUCAUCUCUCAGGUCCAAUUCCACU